ACGGUAGUAUUAGCCAUGAACAGGGAGGAGGAGAUGAUGAGUCCGAACCCGAGGCUCAUGGACUGAGUGAGCCGCUGCCGGUGCACCAGAGCUGAUUGGAACUGAAGAGCGCAGACAAGGCUAUGCACCAAGAGCUGAUUGGACUGAAGAGAGCAGAUAAGGCCAGUUCAUCGGCAGCUGCCAGGGGCUCUCUUCUCUCAACGUCCAGGUUUUCUGCCAGCUAUCAUGACAAAUUUAUAGAUUCAUUUUAAAUAAACAAUUGAGUGUGAAGUCACUGCACAUUUCCUGGUGUUUUUUUGGUACCUGAAAGAGAGUUUUUUUAGUUAAAUUGUGCACCUUUUCCACUAGGCCAGAACGUUUGUACAUUUAGAAGACAUAAGUUACGUCAAUUUAAUGGCAGAU